rnacentral:lncRNA from 1 species
CCCGCCGGGCCGCCCCCUCGUGCGGCCCCGCACGCGGGCCCUGGUCGCCGGCGGCCUCCGUGGCCCCGCGAGGCCCGCCGCCGCAGCGUUAAAUGUCGGGGCCCGGGGGCGGAGCCCGCCGGAGCAUUUACCGCCUGGCUUGCGAAAUCCCUUGCGUGUGAGUGGCUCGUUACUUGGCUCUGUGAGCUUUUUAAAGAAUUCUCUGUUACACUCAAGAAUUCUUGGGAAGUGAGAAAAAGAAGCCGACCAGCGGUUCCCUCGUGUUUUGAAGUGAUUAUGGAAAUUACGGUUAACGACGAGCGAAGGGAUGAGGGGUCUGCAUCCGCGUCCCUGUCCCCGGAGGAGCAGAGGGUCCUGGAAAGGAAGCGGAAGAAGGAGCUGGCGGUCUCAGAGUUUCCUUGAAAGGCUCAUGGGCACGUGAUAGAGGUGGCGUCUCAGCGCCACCGUCAGCCGUCACCCCAUCACCCCCACCUCCGCCCCCCCCCCCCCCGUCACCCCAUCACCACUUGCACCCCCACCC